rnacentral:rRNA from 1 species
GAUGGACGCUGGCGGCGUGCCUAAUACAUGCAAGUCGAGCGAACGGACGAGAAGCUUGCUUCUCUGAUGUUAGCGGCGGACGGGUGAGUAACACGUGGAUAACCUACCUAUAAGACUGGGAUAACUUCGGGAAACCGGAGCUAAUACCGGAUAAUAUUUUGAACCGCAUGGUUCAAAAGUGAAAGACGGUCUUGCUGUCACUUAUAGAUGGAUCCGCGCUGCAUUAGCUAGUUGGUAAGGUAACGGCUUACCAAGGCAACGAUGCAUAGCCGACCUGAGAGGGUGAUCGGCCACACUGGAACUGAGACACGGUCCAGACUCCUACGGGAGGCAGCAGUAGGGAAUCUUCCGCAAUGGGCGAAAGCCUGACGGAGCAACGCCGCGUGAGUGAUGAAGGUCUUCGGAUUGUAAAACUCUGUUAUUAGGGAAGAACAUAUGUGUAAGUAACUGUGCACAUCUUGACGGUACCUAAUCAGAAAGCCACGGCUAACUACGUGCUAGCAGCCGCGGUAAUACGUAGGUGGCAAGCGUUAUCCGGAAUUAUUGGGCGUAAAGCGCGCGUAGGCGGUUUUUUAAGUCUGAUGUGAAAGCCCACGGCUCAACCGUGGAGGGUCAUUGGAAACUGGAAAACUUGAGUGCAGAAGAGGAAAGUGGAAUUCCAUGUGUAGCGGUGAAAUGCGCAGAGAUAUGGAGGAACACCAGUGGCGAAGGCGACUUUCUGGUCUGUAACUGACGCUGAUGUGCGAAAGCGUGGGGAUCAAACAGGAUUAGAUACCCUGGUAGUCCACGCCGUAAACGAUGAGUGCUAAGUGUUAGGGGGUUUCCGCCCCUUAGUGCUGCAGCUAACGCAUUAAGCACUCCGCCUGGGGAGUACGACCGCAAGGUUGAAACUCAAAGGAAUUGACGGGGACCCGCACAAGCGGUGGAGUAUGUGGUUUAAUUCGAAGCAACGCGAAGAACCUUACCAAAUCUUGACAUCCUUUGACAACUCUAGAGAUAGAGCUUUCCCCUUCGGGGGACAAAGUGACAGGUGGUGCAUGGUUGUCGUCAGCUCGUGUCGUGAGAUGUUGGGUUAAGUCCCGCAACGAGCGCAACCCUUAAGCUUAGUUGCCAUCAUUAAGUUGGGCACUCUAAGUUGACUGCCGGUGACAAACCGGAGGAAGGUGGGGAUGACGUCAAAUCAUCAUGCCCCUUAUGAUUUGGGCUACACACGUGCUACAAUGGACAAUACAAAGGGCAGCGAAACCGUGAGGUCAAGCAAAUCCCAUAAAGUUGUUCUCAGUUCGGAUUGUAGUCUGCAACUCGACUACAUGAAGCUGGAAUCGCUAGUAAUCGUAGAUCAGCAUGCUACGGUGAAUACGUUCCCGGGUCU